rnacentral:rRNA from 1 species
CCUACGGGAGGCUGCAGUCGAGAAUCAUUCACAAUGGGGGAAACCCUGAUGGUGCGACGCCGCGUGGGGGAAUGAAGGUCUUCGGAUUGUAAACCCCUGUCAUGUGGGAGCAAAUUAAAAAGAUAGUACCACAAGAGGAAGCGACGGCUAACUCUGUGCCAGCAGCCGCGGUAAUACAGAGGUCUCAAGCGUUGUUCGGAAUCACUGGGCGUAAAGGGUGCGUAGGCUGUUUCGUAAGUCGUGUGUGAAAGGCGCGGGCUCAACCCGCGGACGGCACAUGAUACUGCGAGACUAGAGUAAUGGAGGGGGAACCGGAAUUCUCGGUGUAGCAGUGAAAUGCGUAGAUAUCGAGAGGAACACUCGUGGCGAAGGCGGGUUCCUGGACAUUAACUGACGCUGAGGCACGAAGGCCAGGGGAGCGAAAGGGAUUAGAUACCCCAGUAGUC